rnacentral:rRNA from 1 species
AUGGGCGCAAGCCUGAUGCAGCCAUGCCGCGUGUGUGAAGAAGGCCUUCGGGUUGUAAAGCACUUUCAGUCAGGAGGAAAGGUUAGUAGUUAAUACCUGCUAGCUGUGACGUUACUGACAGAAGAAGCACCGGCUAACUCCGUGCCAGCAGCCGCGGUAAUACGGAGGGUGCGAGCGUUAAUCGGAAUUACUGGGCGUAAAGCGUACGCAGGCGGUUUGUUAAGCGAGAUGUGAAAGCCCCGGGCUCAACCUGGGAACUGCAUUUCGAACUGGCAAACUAGAGUGUGAUAGAGGGUGGUAGAAUUUCAGGUGUAGCGGUGAAAUGCGUAGAGAUCUGAAGGAAUACCGAUGGCGAAGGCAGCCACCUGGGUCAACACUGACGCUCAUGUACGAAAGCGUGGGGAGCAAACAGGAUUAGAUACCCUGGUAGUCCACGCCGUAAACGAUGUCUACUAGAAGCUCGGAGCCUCGGCUCUG